rnacentral:lncRNA from 1 species
GGUAACCUCGUUGCAUUAGAAAUCAUGCAAUUACUUGGUCAAGAGUUUUUCUACUUCUUCCUGAAUUUGCCUUUGUUGGGGUAGCGGAGCUAUCGGCUACCCCCAGCCAUGACUUGCUGGUCUAGGCUGCUCUUCCAUGUGUUUGGCUUGUCUAUACCAUGGAUGCAGUGCAUGUGGUGCAUUCCUAACAUGCGAGCAAGUUCUUCGCAGGCUGCUGGUUGAACUUGAGCUGGACUGAGUGACUAUUUCUCUCCUUCCGUCGUGCUGCCUACUUUGAUAUGAGGUGGAGGAUGCUCCUUCCGAGCUUAGCCGCGAAUGAACACUUUGCCCGGAAGGUUGCUCAUGUUGACUAUCGGAGUGUGACCCCAACCAUGAAUGUUGGUGCGAAAUAUAUAAGCACAUAAAUUAAACCCUCUUUUUAUCAAAUGUAGUAAAGUAUGUAAGUAGGGAUCGUUCUAGGCCGGGGAUUAGGAGGGAUUGCUAAAUCACUUGGAAACUGACUUGAAAACGUAAAACCAAAGUUUAAAACACUAAACUAGACUCAAAGAAUGCAAAACUAUACUUUAAAAUACUAAGAUAAACAAAAAGAUUCAAAACAGCAAAUAAACACUCAAAACUGCCUUAAAAACACUUUCUGGGCAGUUUUGAACACCUAGCACUAAAUUGGACGAAAUUGGGUUAUGACUUGACUCAAGACACUUAAAAACACAAACUAAAGUGAUUACUAACUAAUCUAACACUUUGAAAUAAAUGGGAGAUUGGUUCUUGACGAAUUUGAAAACAAAACAAACUUUGUAAAAAAAACAGAUUGUAAAUGAAUUUGAAUGAAACUUAUGGAUGGAAGGCUAGCUAGGAGGUUCUUCUCCACACAUGUCACACUUGCAUACAAAACGAUUUCCAAUUGCUUUUCGAUAAACUAUGAAUACUCAACGCCCCAAAUUAAUCGUGAAUUGCACUAAUUAACCCUCAGUUUUUCCACAAGUUAUUGGGUUGGAUGAUUGCAUAUGACAACCCAAAACAUUCCCUACAAGUUCCCUACAUGAAUUGCAUAAUAGAGAUACAAGCAAGAAUCAUUAAGUUCUAUGAAAAACAUAAGCAUUGACGAGGCACUCGUUACUAUGAUUUGCAUGAAACUUAUGCCAAGAAUUUACUUAACGUGAUUGUGACUAGCAACCCUCACUACUUGUGAAUGUAAGUUCAUAACAAUUAGGUGAAACUCCCUUAUAUUCUAGCGUCAAAUUCAUGCAUGAAAAUUAAGCGUGCACUCUUAACCAACAUACACAAAUUAGUUUUUAUACGAACGGAUAAGUAAAUUGAAUUCACAACUUAUGAAUCACAACUGGAUGUAAUCAAAUCA